CCUACGGGAGGCAGCAGUGGGGAAUAUUGCACAAUGGGGGCAACCCUGAUGCAGCAACGCCGCGUGAGUGAAGAAGGCUUUCGGUUUGUAAACUUCUAUCAGCGGGGAAGAGAAUAAGACGGUACGACUAGAAUAAGCCAGCUAUAUCCAGGACCGAAGCCGCGGUAAUACGUAGGGGGCAAGCGUUAUCCGGAUGUACAGGGUGUAAAGGGAGCGUAGACGGGGAGGCAAGUCAGAUGUGAAAGCCCCGGGCUCAACUCCGGGACUGCAUGUGAAACUGUGUGCCUGGAGUGCAGGAGAGGUAAGCGGAAUUCCUUGUGUAGCGGUGAAAUGCGUAGAUAUCAGGAGGAACACCAGUGGCGAAGGCGGAUUACUGGACUGUAACUGACGUUGAGGCGCGAAAGCGUGGGGAGCAAACAGGAUUAGAUACCCGGGUAGUC
rnacentral:rRNA from 1 species